rnacentral:rRNA from 1 species
GAUGAACGCUGGCGGCGUGCCUAACACAUGCAAGUCGAGCGAUUUACUUCGGUAAAGAGCGGCGGACGGGUGAGUAACGCGUGGGUAACCUGCCUCAUACACAUGGAUAACAUACCGAAAGGUAUGCUAAUACAAGAUAAUAUAAGAGAUUCGCAUGGGUCUCUUAUCAAAGCUCCGGCGGUAUGAGAUGGACCCGCGUCUGAUUAGCUAGUUGGUAAGGUAACGGCUUACCAAGGCGACGAUCAGUAGCCGACCUGAGAGGGUGAUCGGCCACAUUGGAACUGAGACACGGUCCAAACUCCUACGGGAGGCAGCAGUGGGGAAUAUUGCACAAUGGGCGAAAGCCUGAUGCAGCAACGCCGCGUGAGCGAUGAAGGCCUUCGGGUCGUAAAGCUCUGUCCUCAAGGAAGAUAAUGACGGUACUUGAGGAGGAAGCCCCGGCUAACUACGUGCCAGCCGCCGCAGUAAGAC